rnacentral:rRNA from 1 species
GUGCCAGCCUCCGCGGUAAUACGAAAGGUGCGAGCGUUAAUCGGAAUUACUGGGCGUAAAGCGCGCGUAGGCGGCUAUUUAAGUCUGAUGUGAAAUCCCCGGGCUCAACCUGGGAAUGGCAUCGGAUACUGGGUAGCUAGAGUGCAGUAGAGGGAGGUGGAAUUCCAGGUGUAGCGGUGAAAUGCGUAGAGAUCCGGAGGAACACCAGUGGCGAAGGCGGCCUCCUGGACUGACACUGACGCUGAGGUGCGAAAGCGUGGGGAUCAAACAGGAUUAGAUACCCUGGUAGUCCACGCCGUAAACGAUGUCUACUAGCCGUUGGUGCCCUUAGUGGUGCUGGUGGCGCAGCUAACGCAAUAAGUAGACCGCCUGGGGAGUACGGCCGCAAGGUUAAAACUCAAAUGAAUUGACGGGG